rnacentral:pre_miRNA from 1 species
UUCUUAUUAGAUGAUAAUUAUCACAUGUCAUGUUCUGAAUUGGAUUUCGAAUCCAUGAAAGAUGAAAUCUUAUAAUCAGAAUAUGAUAAGUAACCGUUAAUAAUU